rnacentral:rRNA from 1 species
AAUGAACGUUGGCGGCGUGGAUUAGGCAUGCAAGUCGUACGCACAGCUUCGGCUGUGAGUGGCGCAAGGGUGAGUAAUGCGAAGGUAACCAACCCUGGUGUUGGGCAUAACCGCGGGAAACUGCGGGUAAUUCCCAGCGACGUCGCGAGAUGGCAUCAUCUUGCGACCAAAGGUGUGAUUCCGCUCUAGGACGGGCCUUCGUGGUAUUAGGUAGUUGGUGAGGUAACGGCUCACCAAGCCGACGAUGCCUACCGGGUGUGAGAGCAUGACCCGGCACACUGGAACUGAGACACUGUCCAGACACCUACGGGUGGCUGCAGUCGAGAAUCUUCGGCAAUGGGCGAAAGCCUGACCGAGCGACGCCGCGUGCGGGAUGAAGGCCCUUGGGUUGUAAACCGCUUUAGUCCGGGAAAAAGGGGUGCGAGGAUAAUACCCUCGUGCUUUGAUGGUACUGGAAGAAUAAGCACCGGCUAACUACGUGCCAGCAGCCGCGGUAAGCUCGU